CACCUUCCUUGCAGAAAGCUCCAUCCACAGUUGGACCCUCUUACCGUAUGGUGCAGGAAAUGAAGAGCUAUGCCUUCCUCAGUCUUGUCACAGGGACAGCAGUGGCUGUAGGAGUGAUCACUUUUUAUAGCCUGCCCAAUUGGUUCUGCUGCAUGCCACUCUCUUGAAGGCAGAGCUGCCGCUUCUCUCCCUUGCUGGGCAAAACCUUGUAAAUGGAAAGAGAAAAGCUAAUAUAUGACAUAAUUUCAUCUGAGAAUUUGAACACAUUGAUAGUUUCAAUAUUUUUCCUUAUGAAUACCAGCUAUUGGAAUGAUUUGACUCUCAGAAUAUAUGUAUCUGUCAAGAACUUUUAAUUUGUAACUGUGUUAAUCUUAGAUAAUCCUGAAGAAUUUUUUUCACCAUUUUUUUUUUUUUUUUUGGUACUGAUGAUAGAACUUGGGCCCUUGAGCUUGCGAGGCAGGUGGCGGAAUCAAUGAGCCAAAUCCCUGGCUCGAUCCUGCAGAAUUUAGACUUAGUUGCAAAUUUGAAACUUAAUCUGGCCCAAAUUUCCUAUUUUUUAAAUGAAGUUAAGACAAAACAAACAAACAAAAAAAAGGACAAGAAUAAUUUCCUCAGGGUCUUGGAGGUCUUCCCCAUAACUCAUUCUGUUAUAAUUGGGUCCAUAUGCAAGAACCUUAGUUAAGAUAAGCUCCAGGGGAAGAACGGUUACUGCAGGUCAUUCAGGAGAGUCUGGAAAUGUCACAGUGCAAAAUGGGUAGAAGGAGGUGAUGAUGGAAGACCAUGUGCAAACAGCAAAGAUGAAGACAGUGUCCUCAACUCACGGGAUUCAUGCCUGGGCCGGCAUGUGCCCCAGGGCAUGGCACAGAGUCAUCAGAAGCAGGGGCUUUUCCCAUUCUGAAGGUUUCUACUUGAGAGAUGGAAGAGAGAAAGGAGGAAGAGGAGAGAGGACACUGCCUGGCUCACUGGUGGAAGGGGACUGACUGAUGGUUCUGGGGAAGAUUCGCGAAGUAUCCACUCAGGGAAGCACAGAAACUACGGGGCAAAGAUGUCCUUGCAGAAUUGUUUAUGAGCGAUGUUUAAAGCAUCUUAUUUAUUCAGUAAGAAAGCAGUUGUUAAAACUAUAGUUCUGCCGGUGGACCACUCAGGGCCCAUUCAGAUAAUGCAGGAGAACUUUACUUAUUGAUAUGAAAAAUAUGCAUGAUAUCUUUUUAAAUUUAAACACAGACUUUGUAAAACAGCAA
rnacentral:lncRNA from 1 species